CUAACAGGCUGUCUUUUAUAGGAUGAUAGCAGUGAUGAUGGAUUCCUUGCCGAUGACAACUGCAAUUCAGAAAUAGGACAGUGGCAUUUAAAGCCUACUAUCUGUAAACAACCUUGUAUUCUACUGAUGGACUCACUUAGAGGCCCUUCUCGAUCAAAUGUUGUAAAAAUUCUAAGAGAGUAUUUAGAGGUGGAAUGGGAAGUUAAAAAAGGAAGCAAAAGAAGUUUUUCCAAAGAUGUUAUGAAAGGCUCUAAUCCAAAAGUACCCCAGCAAAACAACUUCAGUGAUUGUGGUGUAUAUGUGUUACAGUAUGUAGAGAGCUUUUUUGAGGUGGGUUUCAGUA